GGAGUCUUAAACUCAACCCCCCCCCCCCCCUUCCCCCCCUGGGUGCUUUUCCACUAACUUGCUUUGGUUCUCUGGCAUCUUUUACUCCUCAGUUCAGCCAUCUAAACAUCUCAUAGAAGAGCUUGUGCCACGCCUCUUGAAGGGGUACAGGGUAUGGGGCAGCUCAUCAACAUUAGUAGAUGGCAUCUUCAAAGGGAAGAUAGUGUUGAAAGGCUGCAGUAUUGUAACUGUUCUCCAGGUCAACAUGCAAUUUUUCUAGUUUUUAAUGUAUGCAGUUAGUGGCUUUUGUUGUUUCUUUUCUUUUUUCUUUUUCUUUUUUUUUUUUCCAGAGCUAUUACACUCUUCUUCCAGCUUGACAACCCAAAAGGUCCAGAAACAGCGUUUGGUACAACAAGGCCUCCUGGAAUGGCAUUAUCACUGCACAGACAUGAGGUGAUGAGACUGAAGAAGCAAAGGACAAGAGGGGAAAAUGCAUCCCCGGGUGAUAUUCACAUGGAGGUUUUCUAACUAUGGAAGAUCUCCUGAGGAUUUGCAUCAUGCGCUGCUGCCCCUAGAACAGUACGCAUCUAUUUGGGAGUGAUGAAGAACUGCAAUAUACUGCUGCAUAUUGCUUUAGUGAUGAGAGAGGCUCUCUGGCAUGUCACACAGCGCCAAAAUUCAUUCCAGUGUUGACAGCAAAAAUCCUUAUCAUUUUUGGGUCUUUUUCCAAGACAGCUGAUAUCUGCUGUGGAUUCUUUUUAUGCAAAUCAAGGUGGUAAAACAACAAAAAAAAAAAAGCCCUGAAAGCAGUCAUCAAGAUAAACUUGGACCAAUGGGGACAUUCCUGGUUAUCAUUUUUUAACUUCUUGGGGCUUUUUUAGCUCUGCACAACAUACUUCUUUCCCCACUCUUUCUUACAAUAGUUAAUUUUUGUCCUGGCAGACCUUUUAUUUAUGAAUUACAGUGCUUCUUGCAUUUUAUGUGGCUCCAUAUCAAUUGUCAUUAACAGUCGCUGUGUUUAAGCUUUGCUCUGCAUUGCUCUGGUGCUUCCUGAUGUUGAACCUCAUAUUGCAAAUUGCCAUAUGCCUGUAGUGAUGAUCUGUCCAGGAAGGUGUGCCCAGGACCCUUCAGGAAGCUCAGGAAAGUGAAGAAGAGAGAUGGAAAAGAAAAAGAAGACAGCUCUGAAAAUAUUUUGACUGAAGGAAUCAAGUCGAAGCAAUAUAGUUGGGGUCCCUUCUGUCUUAGGUUGCUGCAGUUCAAGAAGCGAAGCCUGGUUUCAUUGGAAAACUUGGCAAGGGUUUUGCUAGUGACUUAAAUAGGAGCAGGAUUUGGUCCUCCUGAAGCAGCUCCAGAGAUAUCAUGCUCACCAUGGCACUGAUGUGGUGACAAGAGCUUGGUCACCUCCUUGCCCUGGUGCAGCCAUCUCACAUCUGCCCUACUUACGCUGUAUAAGUAUUGCCAUAGCCCCACAACAGACUGAGUCGAGCUCUGCAUGUAUAGGGCUCCCGUUCCUGCUGCCCACCUCAGCAACAUGCUGAUGCUAGAGCAAGAGUGAGAAAUUGAGGAGGGACAAAAAAAAGACUUGUACAAGCAAUUCAAAAAACAGGACAUUUCAGAGCAAAAGAGAACUGCCCAACUUCAUGGCCUGGAGACUCUUCCAGCCUGUGUCCAGAGAUACUCACCGCAGUUUGAGUCACGUCGAGUCACACCGUGGUUGCUUUGGCAUUUGUGUGGGGAAUAGUGAUAGUCGUUGCAUGUGGUGCUGGGUUUUGUUUUUGUGUUUUUUAAAAUGCAAAAUUAACAGUCCAACUGUGUUGGUAGACAGCAAGCCUGUUACUGCUUUUAUCUAUCCAGAAUGUGGAGACAAAGAAGAGAAGUUGGCUUGACCAGUUUGGUGGCCAUGCAUGUAACGGUCUGGGAGCUGAAAGCAAAGAACACAACAGUCAGAUACACAAACCCAUCUGGGGUUCAACUGAUAAGUUGUAUUUAAAAGUGAAAGACAAUCCUAAAAGAGCUCUGUCAAGUGGCUGAAGCCUUGAAUGCUGAGUCUUUUUUAAAAGGGGAUUUCAUAAGGGCUAAGAUGAACAGAAAUGGCUCUUUUGUGGUUUUGUACAUUCCAGGCAUGCCAGGACAGUUCCUGUCAAGGAUGGGCAGUUUCUGGGGCUUGGGGUGGUUCUUCUUCUUCUUCUUCCUUUUUUUUUUUUUUUUUUUUUUCUUUUGCAAAGUAUUUGUCACAAACUAGCAACUUAAAUAGUGAAAAAUAAAUGAGAGCUGCAAAAUCAUUACAGUAGCAGUAAUGGAAAUUGUAAAGCUAAUACCUAAACUGGCUGUGGUGUUUCACCUGAUCAUCUGUCUCUGCUACUGUGUUGUUGAGAUCACUAGUAUUGCCCUCUAUGACUACUUCAUGACCGAUGAUUUAAAAGCAGAGCUUUAACUGUUGGUUACCCAGAACCUCAAAAGACUGAAUACCUUAGGCUUUUUUUCCAUGUACAGAAGUAAUACCAUUUCAGCUGAAACAUUGUUAAAUAUGCAUCCCCUUAGUGUCAGUGCAGUUCUGUAGUCAUACAAGAUGUUUAAUUGUGAGACUCGUAUUAAUUUCUGCAUAUUCAUGAGUACAAAAAUGGGAUAUAGGCAUUGUUGCUUAGAUGCACUUACUUUGGUUUCAAGCAGACUGUAUCAGGUUAGUUUGCACCUGUCCACUUGACCUAAGUGAGAUUUGAACUGAUUUAAGAGUUUCCACACACCAAAUGACUGUGUCUUAAAUAGUGCCUUAAAACAGUCUGAAGUCUCAUAUGCAGUAAAACAGGAGAUACUGCUUGUGGACCUGGCAUGUUAGAUGUUUAAUUCAUAAGCCUGCAUAACCUGUUCUUUCAGGUCUGUAUGCUGCUCCUCUCUCCAUGCUUGUGAGUGCCUUGUGGGUAGCAGGAGCUCACAGAUAGUCAAAAAAGUGCAUCCAGAGGCGUUACUGCAGCCCAGCUGCCAUUGCCUCACUAGCAGUGUCGUGGAGAGUACGGCUAUAAGAGCAUGGAAUUAACUGUGGGGGUCAAAACUCCCUGGGGGACCCUACAUAAACACUCUACAUCUUUCAUCUGCAUUGGACUUGCUGGUGCCAUGACUGUGCUGACCGCAGCGAGCUCGGAGCAGGUCCACCAGGUGACUGUGUAUUUAACUGCUCUGCAGGCGACCCUCAGUGACGGAGCAGAAAACUGAGCCAAGGUCUCCCUGAAGGAGGCCGAACCAUUAGGCCAUAGAUAACUGCCCUGAGAAUUUGCUUUUCAGCCUGGAUUCUGCUGUAGCAGCAAGUGCAGGUGAAGUGUGUGAUACCGAGGGCAAGAAGGUGUCUCUUUGAAAGUGUCAAUAAAAGAGACGCUGUUGGAAUGAACUCUCUGGCUUGGUUUUUUUAAACAUGAAUAUGGUUAUUUAGUGAGAAGCGCAUGCUUGCAGGAACAGGAGUGAAGUUAGGACAUGGUGCCUGAACUACCGUCCCAUCCUUGAGUGCAAACUGACGUUAUGGAGGCAGGAGAAAUGGCAAGGCUGUUGCCUGGGCUCUUGUAGGUCUGUGGGUGAAAGAACUUUAAUCUCCAGAGUUGUCAUCAAAUACUUAACUGCCUUGCAAGAUCUGAGGAAGGAAAAACGUAUAUUAAUUUGAUGCUCAACAUGCUUUUUUAACUUGAGAGGAGCUUGGUCUUUUAGCCUUCUGUGGCUGCCAUUUUAGGCUUGUUUCCCUAGGGCAAAAA